ensembl:lncRNA
CUGCUGCAAUCCCAGCUGCGGAAGGGGAGAAGAGGAGGAAAGAGCACGGAGGAGGGGAAGGGAAAAUGCCUGGGCAGAUCCACCUCAGUGCUGUGGCUGUCUUGGCACGGCCCCCAGGCAGCUUUCCCUCCUGGAGGCAGUCAUGGCCAUGGGAGGUAGUGAGACAUGAGGCGAGGAGAGCACCAGCUGUGACACCACGAUCUGAGGUUUCAUCCAUCGCUGUCUGCCGGUGUGAAUCAAGACUUCUCAUCCCUCCUCCUGAGGAGAGCAGCUACCCAUGAAGCAGCUCUGCCAAGAUCCAUGUGACCAUGGGCCUCAACAGCU